UACAGAGGGGGCAAGCGUUAUUCGGAAUUAUUGGGCGUAAAGGGCGCGUAGGCGGCUUGGCAAGUGGAAGGUGAAAUCCCUCGGCUUAACCGAGGAACUGCCCUCCAAACUGCUUUGCUUGAGGCCGGGAGAGGCGGAGUGGAAUUCCGAGUGUAGAGGUGAAAUUCGUAGAUAUUCGCAAGAACACCAGUGGCGAAGGCGGCCAACUGGACGAAUACUGACGCUGAGACGACG
rnacentral:rRNA from 1 species